AGUGAACGCUGGCGGUAGGCCUAACACAUGCAAGUCGAACGGCAGCACAGUAAGAGCUUGCUCUUACGGGUGGCGAGUGGCGGACGGGUGAGGAAUACAUCGGAAUCUACUUUUUCGUGGGGGAUAACGUAGGGAAACUUACGCUAAUACCGCAUACGACCUACGGGUGAAAGCAGGGGAUCUUCGGACCUUGCGCGAUUGAAUGAGCCGAUGUCGGAUUAGCUAGUUGGCGGGGUAAAGGCCCACCAAGGCGACGAUCCGUAGCUGGUCUGAGAGGAUGAUCAGCCACACUGGAACUGAGACACGGUCCAGACGCCUACGGGAGGCAGCAGUGGGGAAUAUUGGACAAUGGGCGCAAGCCUGAUCCAGCCAUACCGCAUGGGUGAAGAAGGCCUUCGGGUUGUAAAGCCCUUUUGUUGGGAAAGAAAAGCAGCAGGUUAAUACCCCGCUGUUCUGACGGUACCCAAAGAAUAAGCACCGGCUAACUUCGUG
rnacentral:rRNA from 1 species